rnacentral:pre_miRNA from 1 species
AGUAGAAUUGCUGGGUUUUAUGGUAGCUCUGUAUUUCACUUUUUGAGAACCUGCCAGACUGUUUUCCACAGUGGCUGCACCAUUUUACAUUCCCAGCAGCAAU